CAAUAAAUGAGGGUUCUCAAGGCGUUAAUGAGGGCUGCGAACUGCAAGAUGCAGCAUUACUAGUUACACAGCCAGGGUUUGUAACACAGAAUACCUCUACAAAAUCUUCAAGACUUAGUCUUAGUCGGAAACGAAAGCAGUCCCGUUCUAUUACCCAUGAUAAAAGGGCAUGCCCUGACAAUGCACUAGUCUCUGAUGUGCAACCUCGGGAUACCACCACAGAUUUCAUUAAAACAGUUGAUUUCUAUACAGAAAACCUGUUAGGAGCUGGAGAUGUCACAAAUUCAUGGUCUGCAGCGUUGGCAAGUGUCUCAGAAGCUAACGGUGAUGCGAUAGUGCCGGUAGCUACUACCGUACUGACAUCUUCUUUGGACUCGC